rnacentral:rRNA from 1 species
UACGGAGGGUGCAAGCAUUAAUCGGAUUUAUUGGGCGUAAAGAGCUCGUAGGCGGCUUGUCGCGUCAACUGUGAAAACCCGUGGCUCAACCAUGUGGUCUGCAGUCGAUACGGGCAGGCUAGAAUUCGGUAGGGGAGACUGGAAUUCCUGGUGUAGCGGUGAAAUGCGCAGAUAUCGGGAGGAACACCAAUGGCGAAGGCAGCUUGCUGGGACGGUACUGACGCUGAGACGCGAAAGCGUGGGGAGCAAACAGG